GAUGAAGAACGUAGCGAAUUGCGAUAUGUAAUGUGAAUUGCAGAAUUCAGUGAAUCAUCGAAUCUUUGAACGCACAUUGCGCCCGCCAGUAUUCUGGCGGGCAUGCCUGUCCGAGCGUCAUUUCAACCCUCGCGCCCAUCUGGGCUGCGGUGUUGGGGACCGGCCUGCCCCCCGGGGCGCGCCGCCCCCCAAAUUCAGUGGCGGUCUCGCUGCAGCCUCCCUUGCGUAGUAGCACACCUCGCACCGGAGCGCAGCGCGGCCACGCCGUAAAACCCCCGACCCCCAUGAGUUUGACCUCGGAUCAGGUAGGAAUACCCGCUGAACUUAAGCAUAUCAAUAAGCGGAGGA
rnacentral:misc_RNA from 1 species